rnacentral:rRNA from 1 species
CCUACGGGAGGCAGCAGUGGGGAAUAUUGGGCAAUGGGCGCAAGCCUGACCCAGCAACGCCGCGUGAAGGAAGAAGGCUUUCGGGUUGUAAACUUCUUUUAAGAGGGAAGAGCAGAAGACGGUACCUCUUGAAUAAGCCACGGCUAACUACGUGCCAGCAGCCGCGGUAAUACGUAGGUGGCAAGCGUUGUCCGGAUUUACUGGGGGUAAAGGGCGUGCAGCCGGGAAGACAAGUCAGAUGUGAAAUCCCGCGGCUAAACCGCGGAAAUGCAUGUGAAACUGUUUUUCUUGAGUACCGGAGAGGUCAUCGGAAUUCCUUGUGUAGCGGUGAAAUGCGUAGAUAUAAGGAAGAACACCAGUGGCGAAGGCGGAUGACUGGACGGCAACUGACGGUGAGGCGCGAAAGCGUGGGGAGCAAACAGGAUUAGAUACCCCGGUAGUC